rnacentral:rRNA from 1 species
GACGAACCGUGCGACCGUUAUUCGGAAUCACUGGGCUUAAAGCGCGUGUAGGCGGGCCGGCACGUCGGUCGCUGAAAUCCCCCGGCUCAACCGGGGAACGGGCGCCGAUACGACCGUCCUGGAGGGACGUAGGGGGACCUGGAACUUCCGGUGGAGCGGUGAAAUGCGUUGAGAUCGGAAGGAACGCCCGUGGCGAAGGCGGAUCUCUGGGCCUGAUCUGACGCUGAGGCGCGAAAGCGUGGGGAGCAAACAGG